CUUGAUGAAAUAUGAGAGGUCCAGCCUGCCCAGUGACCUAGUUCAACGGCCGCGGUAUCCUAACCGUGCGAAGGUAGCGUAAUCACUUGUUCUUUAAAUGAGGACUAGUAUGAAUGGCAUCACGAGGGUUAAACUGUCUCCUUUUUCUAAUCAGUGAAACUAAUCUCCCCGUGAAGAAGCGGGGAUUAUUUUAUAAGACGAGAAGACCCUAUGGAGCUUAAAACAAAUUUACACCUGCUUUAAUAUAUUACCCUCCCGAGGACUCACACAAAUUAUAGCAUAACUGAUAAUUAGUUUUCGAUUGGGGUGAUCAUGGAGAAAAAACCAACCUCCACGACGAUAAGGGGGAGCACCUCCUGAGCCAAAAGCCACAACUUUCAGCACUAAAAAAUUAACGCACUUUGACCCAAUUACUUGAGCAACGAAC
rnacentral:rRNA from 1 species